rnacentral:rRNA from 1 species
UACAGAGGGUGCAAGCGUUAAUCGGAAUUACUGGGCGUAAAGGGCGCGUAGGCGGUCAAUUAAGUUGGAUGUGAAAUCCCUGGGCUUAACCUAGGAACUGCAUACAAGACUGAAUGACUAGAGUGCAGUAGAGGGUAGUGGAAUUUCCGGUGUAGCGGUGAAAUGCGUAGAUAUCGGAAGGAACACCAGUGGCGAAGGCGGCUACCUGGACUGACACUGACGCUGAGGCGCGAAAGCGUGGGGAGCAAACAGGAUUAGAUACCCUGGUAGUCCACGCUGUAAACGAUGAGAACUAGAUGUUGGUAGGCUUGACCUAUUAGUAUCGAAGCUAACGCGAUAAGUUCUCCGCCUGGGGAGUACGGCCGCAAGGUUAAA